rnacentral:rRNA from 1 species
CUUGCUCUCGGGUGACGAGCGGCGGACGGGUGAGUAAUGUCUGGGAAACUGCCUGAUGGAGGGGGAUAACUACUGGAAACGGUAGCUAAUACCGCAUAACGUCGCAAGACCAAAGUGGGGGACCUUCGGGCCUCAUGCCAUCAGAUGUGCCCAGAUGGGAUUAGCUGGUAGGUGGGGUAACGGCUCACCUAGGCGACGAUCCCUAGCUGGUCUGAGAGGAUGACCAGCCACACUGGAACUGAGACACGGUCCAGACUCCUACGGGAGGCAGCAGUGGGGAAUAUUGCACAAUGGGCGCAAGCCUGAUGCAGCCAUGCCGCGUGUGUGAAGAAGGCCUUCGGGUUGUAAAGCACUUUCAGCGGGGAGGAAGGCGGUGAGGUUAAUAACCUCAUCCAUUGAGGUUACCCGCAGAAGAAGCACCGGCUAACUCCGUGCCAGCAGCCGCGGUAAUACGGAGGGUGCAAGCGUUAAUCGGAAUUACUGGGCGUAUAGCGCA